CAAAGCCACAGUGACUCAUAUUCUUCCCAAAACCAGCCAAUAUGGUUCUCUCUGGAAAAAUAACCUUUGCUCCUUCAAAAGAGAAAACCCGGAAGCUUUGAACAAAUCCAUGGAGAUUCAACAGAACCUUCUCCAAUAUCAAAGCCAAACUACCUCCAAAGACUAAGAUACCUGUUCCCACGCAAGCCAGUCCUUCCUUACCACUUUCUGAACCAGCUCCGGCAUGUCGUUCGUCCAAAUCUGGCCAAUCCCUGUCCGCCGGCCUUCCAUAGCCAAAGCAUGCGCCGCCUUGUUCACUUUUCGAAACACAAAUUUGAAGAGAGUGCAUCCCCUUCCACCUCCACCCGCCGGAGUCCCAUCUUAUGUGCAAAAAUUAAAGCUCGCUCACAAGCCCUCGCCUCCGCCACAAAAGCAUCCGCCACAUUACUGACCAGAUAAUUUUCCCCUCCAAUUACCUCCCCUUUAUGAUUCCUAGCUAAAACUGUUGUUGUAGCUAACCCUGUAGUCUGUGAAAACGAAGCAUCAAAAUUAAUCUUGAUGAUGCCAUCAUUCGGUGGCUUCCAUAACUCAUUCACAGCAGUUCCAACAACAGAACUGAAAUUCACUGUAUGGAAACUUAGUUCUCGUACAUAUCCACGAAUAAAACCUAAGGUUUCCUGCUUUGAGAAAAUAACACCUUCAUGCACUACCUUAUUUCUACAAUGCCAGAGACUCCACAAUGAAAUAGCAAAAAGCUUCCUUGUACUGUUAUCACCCGCCAAAAAAGUUCUAACAAAACUUUCUUUAUGCUCCAGUGAAUCGACAGGAGGAUGAGUCUGCAUUUUUAAAUCGUCCCAAAUGUCCUGCAGAAUAGCACACGUCCACAAGAGAUGAGAAUAAGAUUCUAUUUCAGUCUUACACAGUGGGCAAACUACUUCUUCACACAGCAUCCGUCGAGCCAGAUUCCCGUAGUGAGGCACCAGAUUAUGGAACAACCGCCAUACAUGUAUUUUAACUUUUGCAGGAAUAUCUAAUGCCCAUAGCCCCUUAUAAAAAUUUUUGUACACCUCGGUUUCAGAGGAUAAAUUAGAUUUAUUUUGUAGCAAAUCUGUAACAAGGGCCCUGUAACCACUCUUGACCAUAUAUUCGCCCGUGCCAUCGAAUUUCUAGACUCUUAUGUCUUCUGGACUACUGACCAAAUAGGGAUAGAGAGGAUUCUGCUUGCUGUUUCAUUAUCAACUAGCUUGUGAAUGAGCUCAGCGUUCCAGGUAACCAGGGAUCAUUCCAAAGAUUAAUACAGGUUCCAUUCCCCACCCGCCACACCAACCCAUCCCGAAUAACUUCACGAGCACUGCAAAUGCUUCUCCAGGUAAAUGAGGGGUAAGAACCGACCUUAGCUGAUAAUAUGUCUAAAAACGGAAAGUAACGAGCUUUAAAAACUUUAGCUAAAAGGCAAUUGGGAUAAUUCAAAAUACGCCAAACCUGCUUGGCUAACAAAGCUUUAUUGAACAGAAACAAAUCCCUGAACCCCAUUCCCCCUAU